rnacentral:rRNA from 1 species
ACCGGUGCUUUUGGCGCGGGUGAUACACCGGUUCCCAUCCCGAACACCACCGUUAAGACCCGCUGCGGCGAUGAUACUCACUUGUGGGGAAAGUAGCGCGGUGCCGGAU